CAAAAGGGAGAGACAAAAAAUAAAGUCAUACAAUGGGAAUAUUAAUUGCCUCUCUUGCGGAUUUUACAAAACUCACAAAAUUAUUGCUAUUUUUUUUUUUUUUUUUUUUUUUUUUUUUUUUUUUUUGCUUUUUUUUUGUGGCUUGGUGCACUUCCCUUCUGCAUGGAAAAUACUAGCAUAGGAUCUACAGCCCAGCUACAGGGCUCGGGAUUAACAGUGCUGGCAUCUUUUGGGCAUAUUUUUUCUUUUAAUGAAUGAGCUUUCGCUGUUAAUGAGGAAUAAUCGUUUGGCUAAUGAGCUUUGAAACAUUAAGAGAAAAGAGGGUUUUUUCCCGUUAAUUGCCCUGGUGCGACCGCAUGGAUGGAUUACAAAAGACAGCAGUAGGAACGCAGUACAAAGAGGGGAAAUGUCUCUUGGAGUGGGAUAAAUGCAGAGAUGGGUGAUACGUCCCUGCACCUCUCCUUCCUUCGCUCUCUCUUACUCCCUCUCUGCCAACUGCUACGGGUUUCCAUAACUCCGCAAUCAAAGUGGAUGCUCGGGGAAGAUUAUUAUAGUCAAACAGUGAAGCGUCGGCGGCUAAUGUCUCCAGUGUUUAAUCAUCAUACAGUAGAAUGGUUUUAUGCAUAUUUCAUUUGCAUAUCAUUAAACCACGCUAGCGCGGGACAUUCAGAGCUGGAGAGGUACAAAGUUGGGGGGAGAGAGUGGGAGAGUGAGAACGAGACAGAGGGAGGAAGGUCCCUGUGAUGCCUAUCUUCAAAAGCCAGGGACUUGUUCCAUGAUCUGUCUUCUACUUUUACUAAAAUCAUGAUGACUUGGAAACCUUUGAAGUUGGAUAUAACCUUGGAUUCUUCUAAUUCCAGCAGAGUGAUGUAUUAGAAAGGGGGAAAUGAUGCUGCACUAGACAUUUAAAGGAAUAUAAGCUCCAGUGGAAUGGAAAUAGGAGCUCUUUGGGGAACGAGCUAGCAGAGCCAGCCACAGCCUCAACAUUACACUGCUGUGUUCAUUCUGCUGAAGGAUACCAAAGUAAUACAAAAGAAAUGAAGACAGCAUAUACAUUAAGAUGGGGAUUAUAUUUACUCUUUCCCUUUUCUUUUCCUUUUUAAAAGCACAAAGAAGGAUGGAACCAGCGGUAAUUUACACGCUAAUUAGCAAAUUGUUGCCUCUUUUUGUGUUUGUUUUUCUUCUCUGUUUUGGAGAGGGGCGUUUUCACCACUGAAGUGAUUAAUCAAUUAUUUGGUAGCACAGAUCCUUCUCCACUGGCAUUUAUCAAGAAGAGAAGGUGGUGGCUGCGGGGGGAGGAACACAGUGGGCUCUUUGUAGAUCUUAUACAUGCACAACAUAUUAAUUGGGGUCUUUAUAAAGCUCUCUCAAUAGACUAUUUCUUUCCUGGAGACCAGCAGCUGGUUAGCCACCGUUGGCGACUCUUCAAACAUCCCUUUUGGCUGGGGGCAGUUCUGCCGCUGUUUGUUGUUGUGCUUUAUUUUCUCUCUCCACAGUGGGGGCUGCGGGCGCGACGCUCCCACUGCCCACGCUUCUAUAGAGAAGAUGGACAGACAGAAUCAGUACCAAGACAAUCUCUUGAGCUGGAUGGGGAACUCUGCUUCCAAAUGAAAUGCUGUUUUAUAUUUAAAUUACCUUCCUUUUCCUCCCCAUUCCUCUUCUCCUCCAAGUCUUUGUGUCGGUUAUGAAUAUUCAGAUGAGCCAUGAUGUGGUUACACUGUACAAUUACUUGUGUCCGUGAUAGAGGCAAAGGCACUGAGGAAAGACAGAGCCAGAUGAGCUUGGAGCUCAUUUGGGGUUUGUUUUCUGUAUUUUUCCCCCAUCUCUGUGGCACUGCGGCACAUGCAGAUGUCGCUGUUGUUCUUCAUAAAGCCCUAAUGAUAUGCAAAAGCAUAAUGACCCCAUUUGGGUUCAGAGCAUCAACGAAAUAUUAUUGGGGGGGGAAUCCUAACUGAAGGAAUGUCCACAUAAAUUAUUUUUAUUUAAAUCAAGAGGUGGCAGUGAGGCAGAGGAAGUCACAUGAAUACAUGCAUAAUGUGAGCACACAGAAAGGUUAUCACCAAGGAGAAGAGGGUUUUGCACUGUGCCUGGGACAAACAGGCUCAUUUGGGGAAAUCGUUCAGCCCACCAUGUGAUUUACUUAUCAUCAUUCAUCCCUCAGCCAGGGCACCAGGCGUGCUCGCUGCUGGAGACCUGGAGUGCUGGGAGCUGCCUGGAUGAUUCCUGGUUAUCAUUCAGAAAUACCAUGAAGUGUGUGGUGGAAGGGGGAUAGGAGUAAAGGAACCGGAGGGAGAAUGUUUUAAAUGCCGCAGCUCAGUGACAAAGGAGGGGCCUGAUGACAGCCCAGCGAGGGAGUGACAGCAGAGGCCAUCCAGGUGCUGGCUGAUGCCAGGCUGGCAUCCCAAGGGACAGAGUGCUGACACAGUGGCUGGUGGAUCCCCACCACAGGUUGGUGGGACACAGGGGCUUGGGGCAGAGCAGCUUUGGCCACUGUGCCACUGGGAAGCCUGCCGAGGACAGGGAGUCCAGAGCUGGUCAGAUCCACCCUCACUCAUUUUCCUCAGAGUAGUGAAUGGUACCUGGAUAUAAUAAGUACAAAAAUGUGUGGGGAACAGGACCUUUUGGUUGCUCUGUCCAGCUGCUUUUCUGGGUUGGGACCUCCACCCAUAUCCAUCAGCAAGGAACAAAGAGAGGCAGAAUGAGCCAACAGUCAACAGCAAUGCUGUGACAUCAGCCGUGUGAGCUCAGCUCAGGGAUAUUCGCCUCAUAAGUUGCCCUGCACUGAUCCUGGACAACUGUACAGCCUCCUCACACCCUUGGUGGUGGACAGGACCUGUGCUGCAGAAAGGGAAACAGUACUGUUUUCGUCUCCACUCAAAAAGGCAGAGGCAGGUGGAGAGUAAGGUCAGUUGCAUAUGGGACCCAGAGUGGGAGAAUUCUCCUCUGCUCCCAUGCUCUGGGCAUGCACUGACCAUACCUGUGGCUCCAGAAAGGCUCCUGAGCAAUCUCUUGGCGGCCCUACUGUCUCUAAGGGUGUGCUGCCUGUCACAGGCACAGCAGUGUGAGAGCCCAUGACCCCCAGGCACAAAGUAACCAGGGGGCCUUAGGCUCAAACAUUGAGACCCCAGACAGGAGGGCUACACUCUGGUCUGUGUCUAAGGAGCAAUGUGCAGGGGGUGCAAUGACCUGUAGAAGAGAUGGCAGCUGCUUCCCCAUGCUGUUCAGACUCCUGACCACAGGCCCAUCCAGCUGUCACCUCCCUCCAUUCCUUUUCCACAACUCAACAGAUGUGUCCCUUCUGCAUUCCCUGCUCUGCAAGGGUGCCCAGGAGACUGAGAAAAGGCUGCCAGGUCUGUUCAGAACCAGGACACUAGGAUGGCCUCCGGGCAGCAAUUCCAAACCUGGGCUUGCCACUAGAAACUGCCUGCAAAAAUUCUGGAUGUGAAGGAUAACCCAACAGGCAACCUGACCCAACAGCUCUGUGUGCAUGUCCUGCCCAUGCCCAUGCAGCCUCUCAGGGGCACAACUAAGGCAUGUUGCCACCCUGGUGACAAGGAACCUGCAGUCAAACCAGCCCGGACCCAAGUGAGCAGCCCAAAGCUGUCUGUGAGGAACAGAGCUGCCGUGAUCGGAUGGAAUGAUCUGAGCAGAUCCUAGAAUCAUAUCAUGGAAUGGUUUGGGUCAGAAGGACCUUAAUGAAAAUCUAGUUCCACCCCAUCAACCACACAGCCAAUGGCUUCCUGACCCCAGUGCUGUGACACUGCUGAUCUGGAUGCUGCAGAACGCCAACCCUGCUGGUGCUGCCUGGCUCUGCCUCAUCGUUCUGACCUCCAGCCUCAAAGCAGGUCAGUACCGAGGUGUCCAGACCAAACAGAGCCUGGGAAUAUGGAACUACUGAAACCAACAGAAAGCAACUCUACAGAAGGACCAUGCCCCUACCAUGCCCUUGUCAUCCUUACAGGUGCUGAAUCCUUCCCCAACCUGGUUUUGCAGAGCAGGGUGCCCAAUCCUGAAUGGUGCCUUGGCAUGCCAUGAGCCUUAAGGAUGGGACUAACAGGGCAAAGCCUGAGCAGAAAUCUGCCCUAAGGCGCAGGGUAGGACAAGGAUUCAUGGACAGGCUAGGAGGCACAAACAUGGUGGUGCAAUGUCACCAUCUCUUCCCGUGUCCAUACUCAUAGACAGCCCUCCCUGCCAGCUCCACAGGCCUGUCCACUCUGUCCAGAGAUCCUGGUGCAGCCAGGUGCAGCCCAGUGCAGCCCAUCACCCUAACAAUGGCUGGUUGACAGCCUCAGAGGGUUUUCUAACCCAGACAUGGAGUAGGCUGCAGAGCAGAUUGAUGGCUCUGGCCAUGGAUUCACUUGGUUAACACUUCUGCAGUCUUCAAGGUUUCUGCUCCUGUUGCACGUCGAACAGGAUCUGGCACUCCAAGAGGAGCUCAAAGGCUGAGGACUGGACAGAGGAGUCCAGCAGCCUGCUGCCUGCUCCUCAGAUAGAGAAACCCCCAGGGAAAAUGGAACGAAGCUUAGGACCAAACCCAAUCAGAGUCACUCCACAAGUGCUACCAAAGAGGAGCAGGAAGGAGACUGUGCUCUGUGCUGGGAAAAUGAGCAUAGAGAAUACGGUGGGCAAGGCAGAAGGAGGGGGGUGCAGCACACAGCAAGAGUCAGGAUGCUAACCCAUCACACCCCCAUGGAGCAUCCUGCACCUCGCUCUGCAUCCAACAGGCUCAAAUAGUUCCUGCCACUUCCCAACAUGCACAGAUGGGAAAUAUUACCAGAAAUAUCACCCCCUGGGUUCAAGACACUCAGAUUGCAGCCAGUUGGAAUGGUCAGUUGACUAUUUGGAAGUCUCCCCAUGGAGACUUUAGGAAAGGGCAGCUCCCAGAGCACUGCAGAAGCCAUUGUGUUGUUUGUCAAUUCACCAAAUAACCUGAAGAAAUUGCUAGUUAGGAAAAGGAAAUUCAAGCAUUUAAAGAAUAUAUUGCUAUUCAAAACACCAAAAGAACUGUUUUGCAAAUAGUAGCAUUGCUGAAGAGGGGAGGGAAGUACAGGGUUUUAUCAGUCAUUUGAUAUUACAUAUAAGCAGUUUAUUAAAGAAUUAAAUAUUUAUAGACUAUAAAGCAAGCAGGGCGAUGAGUUGCAAACAGCUCGCUGAGAAGUAUGUUAUAAACAUUCAGUCUGUCAGGAACUAAUAAAGUACGGAGGACACAAAUGUUUUGUAAAAUCACCAGGCCAGUGAUGAAUCUCCACAGCUGAGAUGCUACAGAACCCAUGAAGGUUCUUGCUGCACCAUGACUCCAGAGCCUGCAGAGGAGGGAUGGAGUCAGAUGGGGCUGUGUAACUGCAGACAUGCUGAGCACUAAUGGAAAUGCACAUGAUUCAGUGCUUGGGGAAACUUGAUGUGUCAUGUUAUUCUAAACACAGAUCUAUUAAUAGGAAGUUCAGGAUUUUUCAGAGAGUUCAAGGUACUUCCCUUUUAGCUUUUAUUGCAGCUAAUCUUACAUUUCCAACAAAAUUAAAGUUUGUGAUUCAGAUUAAGGUCCUCUCCCUGCAAAGCCCUUGCCUCACCUUCCCUUCCCUAAAGGACAGCUCCAGGUAGCAGCUUCCCUGUCCCCAGCAGUCCCCUGGAGCAUCCAGACUCAAGUUUGGAGAGCAGCAGCUCCUUCCAUCACAGACACAGCACAUUUGCAAUGAACAAGUAAGAUUUUCAGAGACUGUACAAGAGGAACAAAUCGGUGGCAGACCCCAAGGACACAAAUACCUUUUUAUUGGCAGCACUGGGGGAAAUGGCAGCUGAUGGUAGCAACGGGCAUUUUUUCCUGCAUGAAACAGACAGGUUUCAUUUUCCAACAGACAUCUUCACAGCAAUCAUGAGGAGAUUGCUGUUCUGUUACUAGUGGAGAUAAAAGACUCUCCAGAUUACUUUAUAUUUUUGUGCAGUCAAGCCCAGGCCCAGAAGUGAUUUUUAAUAUAGGGUGAACUAACACCUUUGGUCAUGUCCAGGAAGAUUCCUAAUAGCUGUCCCCACAGUUUCAAGCCUUUUGGGGUGGAUGAAACGGAGCAUUUGGAAUUCAUUCUCUCUGUGAGACAUCAGGACUCGGACCCACUUGGCCACCAGUCACCGACUCCAUGCCUCAGGCCGGCACUGCAGUGAGCACCUCCUCCCAAGAUGGGGAAAGAGCACGGCGGUUGCCUCCUUCCUGGCUCAGAAUUACAGAAUCACCAGGUUGGAAGACACCUUCAAGAUCAUCGCGUCCAACCCAUGCCCUAGCACCUCAACUAAACCAUGGCACUGAGUUCUGUCAGAGUGCUCACAUCUGCUGACAUCUCUGAAUGCUCUGGGCAGCGGCUCAGAGAGCUGUGCCUGGAGCCAGCGCCCCAGUGGUGCUGGGGAGUGGGAGGGUGCACAUGCAAGGGGCUCCUUGCAUGACAGAGCCUUGGACCCUCAGCAUGACAGAAAAGGGUUUUGCAGGUCUUCCAACAGACAGCAACACAAUAAACAGCCCCAAAAUUA